rnacentral:rRNA from 1 species
CCUACGGGGGGCUGCAGUGGGGAAUUUUGGACAAUGGGGGCAACCCUGAUCCAGCCAUGCCGCGUGAGUGAAGAAGGCCUUCGGGUUGUAAAGCUCUUUCGGCCGGGAAGAAAUCGCUCAAGCUAAUACCUUGGGUGGAUGACGGUACCGGAAGAAGAAGCACCGGCUAACUACGUGCCAGCAGCCGCGGUAAUACGUAGGGUGCGAGCGUUAAUCGGAAUUAGCGGGCGUGAAGCCUGCGGACACAUCUGAGAUCCCCGGGCUUAAGCUGGGAACUGCGUUUGUGACUGUGGUGCUCGAGUGCGGCAGAGGGGGGUGGAAUUCCACGUGUAGCAGUGAAAUGCGUAGAGAUGUGGAGGAACACCGAUGGCGAAGGCAGCCCCCUGGGUCGACACUGACGCUCAUGCACGAAAGCGUGGGGAGCAAACAGGAUUAGAUACCCCAGUAGUC